rnacentral:rRNA from 1 species
GUGCCAGCAGCCGCGGUAAUACAGAGGGUGCAAGCGUUAAUCGGAAUUACUGGGCGUAAAGCGUGCGUAGUCGGCCAUUCAAGUCGGGUGUGAAAGCCCCGGGCUCAACCUGGGAAUUGCAUUCGAUACUGUGUGGCUAGAGUUCGGCAGAGGGAAGUGGAAUUCCCGGUGUAGCAGUGAAAUGCGUAGAGAUCGGGAGGAACAUCCGUGGCGAAGGCGGCCAUCUGGACCAGCACUGACACUGAGGCACGAAAGCGUGGGGAGCAAACAGGAUUAGAUACCCUGGUAGUCCACGCCCUAAACGAUGCGAACUGGAUGUUGGGUUCAACUAGGAACUCAGUAUCGAAGCUAACGCGUUAAGUUCGCCGCCUGGGGAGUACGGUCGCAAGACUGAAACUCAAAGGAAUUGACGGGGGCCCGCACAAGCGGAGGAGCAUGUGGUUUAAUUCGAUGAUACGCGAGGAACCUUACCCGGGCUUGAAAGUUAGUGAAUGAUCUAGAGAUAGGUCAGUGGUUUACCACACGAAACUAGGUGCUGCAUGGCUGUCGUCAGCUCGUGCCGUGAGGUGUUGGGUUAAGUCCCGCAACGAGCGCAACCCCUAUGUUUAGUUGCCAGCACGUGAAGGUGGGGACUCUAAACAGACUGCCAGCGUAAGCUGUGAGGAAGGCGGGGACGACGUCAAGUCAUCAUGGCCCUUACGUCCGGGGCUACACACGUGCUACAAUGGACGGUACAGCGGGCAGCUACACCGCAAGGUGGUGCUAAUCUCUAAAAGCCGUUCACAGUUCGGAUCGGGGUCUGCAACUCGACCCCGUGAAGUUGGAUUCGCUAGUAAUCGCGUAUCAGCAAUGACGCGGUGAAUACGUUCCCGGGCCUUGUACACACCGCCCGU